rnacentral:rRNA from 1 species
CAAUAGCGUAUAUUAAAGUUGUUGCAGUUAAAAAGCUCGCAGUUGGAUUUCUGAAUUGAAUAUCCGGUCCGCUCGUCUCUGAUGAGUGCGUACUUAUGGAUAUUGGAUUCAUUUUUUGUGAGGACAUUUAUCUGUCAUUAAGUUGAUGGAUUUAUAGACUUGCAUCGUUUACUGUGAAAAAAUUAGAGUGUUUAAAGCAGGCGUUCGCCCAUUUGAAUACAUUAGCAUGGAAUAAUAAGAUAUGACUUUGGUGGUCUAUUUUGUUGGUUUGCACACCAGAGCAAUGAUUAAUAGGGACAGUUGGGGGUAUUCAUAUUUCAACGUCAGAGGUGAAAUUCUUAGAUCGUUGAAAGAUGACCUUAGGCGAAAGCAUUUACCAUGGAUGUUUUCAUUA